UAAUACGUAGGUGGCAAGCGUUGUCCGGAUUUAUUGGGUUUAAAGGGUGCGUAGGCGGUCUAUUAAGUCAGUGCUGAAAUAUCCCGGCUUAACCGGGAGGGUGGCAUUGAUACUGAUGGACUUGAGUGCAGUCGAGGUAGGCGGAAUUGACGGUGUAGCGGUGAAAUGCUUAGAUAUCGUCAAGAACACCGAUAGUGAAGACAGCUUACUAGACUGUAACUGACGCUGAGGCACGAAAGUGUGGGGAUCAAACAGG
rnacentral:rRNA from 1 species